UUAGAUCCAAUGGUGCUUCCUCGUACAUUAGAAGGCAUUGGUCAUUUGAGAACGAUCAAAAUGAGGAAGAGGAAUUUUGCCGAGGAAUCAUCAACAGUAGCUGAAGGCUUUUGUGCCCACCUUGAAGAGGCUUACGGGCCAACUGGAGUGUAUUGGUAAAAAAUUUUAUGCCUGUGAAGAUCAAAGUACUUGAUCUGGUCUCAACAGCAUGUACUUGAAAAAGUUCUUUGAUGCACCUGCGUUCUAAUGAUAUCAUUCCCAAACUCAAUCAGGCUUUGCAAAUAGAGGUAGCACUGCCAAUCCUCCCAUAACUGUGAGAGAAGUUGUUGGAUGCGGUUGCUUCUAAUAAUAUCAUUCCUGAACUUAAUGGGGCUCUGCAGAGGAAGGUUACCCCGAUGCAGAGUUGUUUGGUAAAAGCUUAAAGAAGAAGAAGGAAGAAGAAGAGAAGCUCUCUUGUGCCAAACAGCAUUUUCUGGUUGUGUUCGAUGAAGUUAUUCGAAAGUCCUUGCUCAUGAAAUUUUACGGUCUGAUCUCACUUUCUAGCCAAAACAGCACUUUUCACUAUACGUGUUCAAUUAAUUUUAUAGAAGCCAUUAGUGAUGACCCAGGAAAAAGGAAAUGAAGCGGAACGUCAAGAAGGUGGUAUUUGCGCCAUUUUCCUUAUUUCCUAGUUAGUAAUGCUAUUGGAAGAGAAUGUCUUCAAGGUUCAGGCAUAACAGAAGGAUUGGUGAGGAUUGCAGUUACCUUUGCUCCUAGGACCAUCUCAUGUGGACUCUAAUGCCACCUCCUCUGUGGUAUACCGGGGUUUAUAUCAAUAAAUAGUCAAUACGAGACACCAAGGAUCCAAGCAAUAACUGCCGAUGCUCUUUGCAUUAACUGCCGAUGAUCGUGGAGUACGUGAUCACAUCUGGCUCCCCGCCUUCUUCUUACAAAUUCUUCAGCAAUGGAACGGAUUUCCUGGCAUGUGGUUAUAUCUACCUCAUCAAAGUGUUAAAGCUCACAGUAGUUGGUUCUUGUUGCGAUAGAGCGAGUGAUCGAACAAAAUAUAAACGGAAGAAAAAUAAAUCGGACACCGAUUUACGUAGUUC